rnacentral:lncRNA from 1 species
CCCGUCUCUUUUCACAUGACUCCAGAUUUGGCAAUUGUCAGCAGAUGUAUGAAGUUGUGGGAAGACACCAAUGACCCAUCUCAUCUUCCUUCCCUCUGCAAUUCUCAAACGCAAAAGGUGCUGUCACUGCCAUAUGGUGCUGCUGUGAAAACAGGAAGAUUAGAUGCUGACUUUAUUCACUGCAACAGUGAUAUCUCUUCUGAUCAGAUGGUAGCUUCUCAGAGUGUACAGGGAAAAGCAAAGUCUCAGAUCCCAGGGGUCACGGAACAAUGGCAGUUCUGCUGGAAUUGUUCAGAGGAGGUUCUUUGCCUGGCCUCAAGUUUUAGUGUCAGCAGCACAUGAAAACAAGCCUCGGCAGAGGAACAAAUGACCAAGAUGCUUCUAGUAAGGACCUUGAUGAGGAUGGAAGUGAAGACAAAAGGGAAGCUAUGAGACUUGAAAUAUGAUGCACCAUUCCACAGUUUUGAAUGUGGUCCUGUGGGAGAAUAAAGACUGUUGUUUAUUUACAUUAAUUUGACAGUCACAGAUUAUUUAAGAGUUCUGAUUGCCUGCAUGCAAUCAUGCAUGCAUUUGAUAAACACACCCUGAGAUAUUUGGGCUAAGUCACCUUCUUAAUCCAAGUUUGUGGUAAAAGUUUAUCCUGUAUUUUAGAUAUCCUUAAUAACUGAGAAAGACUGAUUAUGGCAAGAGGUAUUAUUCGAUGCAACUAAUGAUCAAGGAAUUUAAGAAGAGGGUGCAGAUAGAGAUUCUUUACAUUAACUUGUAGCAGUAGCUUUAAGGAAUUCUUUAGAUUUAAAGUGACUUCUUUCACAAAUAGGAAAGUAAAGGACAGCAGCCAGAGGUCUAAAUGUCAUUUGUUUGAGAACAAUAUACAAAAAGUAUCAGAAAUCAGUUUCUUUGCAUUAAGAAGUAUAUGUGAUAAGGUGAAAGUUUCUUAGAUCUGCAUAUUAAAAGCAAUGGCACUCGGUGCCAAAAAUGACUAUGUAUAAGGCAGAAUCUUAUCAACUACAAUAAAUAGAACAAAAAAACAUGUAAGCAUAACUCUAGUUGGCAUCAAAAUCUACUAGGCUAAGUCUAUAAGCGCAAAUGUGUAUGUUAAUUGCUAAUAUGUCUCACUUAGCUGAAUGCGCCAGUAUGUUCGGAAUCCAAGUCAUUCAGCUCUGCACUACUUCAGUGAAGCUGAAGUGGUUGCAGUGGAAGCACACACUUAGGUCUCCCAGGACAACCAAAAACACAUGCACUUGCCCAUCAUCUUGAUGUUUUCCUAAAGAAAUAUAACCCCUAUUUAAAACAGCCCUUAGGUCUAAUGAAAAUCUAUGACAUAUAUAUUCAGAUAUAUGUAAGGCUGCAUUUUCCAGCCCAGCACCUUUUCCCAACAUAAAUCCCCAAAGAUUUUAACUGCAUUCCUUUUUCAGCAUAGAAGAGUUAUGUUCUUAAUUACUGGCAUUGGAACAGUGAUUUUUCAGGAGGGAGUAGGGAGUGAGAGAGUGGAAGGUGAAAGAAGGCAUAUUAGAAUUACCAAGGGAGAAUUUUCAAACUACCUCACAUCCCCACUUCCUGACUUUGGGAGUCUGAUGUGUGCCUCAGGAGUCUUGGGACCUAGGGGUGUGGAGAGGGGGAUGCAGCUUGUUGGAGCCUCUGUGAUCCAGUUCUGUUCCCACACCUUCCCUCAUUUAGAAUUCCUGAAGUGAAGGAAAACACACUUCUUUGAAAUAUUUUUUAAAGGUGGACUCCUGAGGGAACAAAUAAAACAAAGUAAUCAGCGGAACAGUCUCAAUGUUCCUGACUGAGAUUGAACCAAAUGAUCCUGAGCAUUCUUCUUCACACCUUUGUUAUCUCAGAAAAGAACAAGCUGUAACAACUUUCUCCCUUGACUGUCACAUUCUAGGUAACAAUGUCUCAGAAUGCUCAAUGGUACUGGAGGGUUUAUGCUGAAUGCCUCUUACUGAGGUCUUCAUCAAGUAUUAAUGCAAAUAAAAAUUUUAAUAUUAUUAUCUAAAUAUAAUGCUCUAAAUCUCACCCCC